rnacentral:rRNA from 1 species
AUUGAACGCUGGCGGCAGGCUUAACACAUGCAAGUCGAGCGGAGAUGAGGUGCUUGCACCUUAUCUUAGCGGCGGACGGGUGAGUAAUGCUUAGGAAUCUGCCUAUUAGUGGGGGACAACAUUCCGAAAGGAAUGCUAAUACCGCAUACGUCCUACGGGAGAAAGCAGGGGAUCUUCGGACCUUGCGCUAAUAGAUGAGCCUAAGUCGGAUUAGCUAGUUGGUGGGGUUAAGGCCUACCAAGGCGACGAUCUGUAGCGGGUCUGAGAGGAUGAUUCGCCACACUGGGACUGAGACACGGCCCAGACUCCUACGGGAGGCAGCAGUGGGGAAUAUUGGACAAUGGGGGGAACCCUGAUCCAGCCAUGCCGCGUGUGUGAAGAAGGCCUUAUGGUUGUAAAGCACUUUAAGCGAGGAGGAGGCUACUGAGACUAAUACUCUUGGAUAGUGGACGUUACUCGCAGAAUAAGCACCGGCUAACUCUGUGCCAGCCGCCGCCGUAAUAC